AUUAUGUGGAGGUGGUGAGGCCCAGAUGGGUAGGAGCUCAUCCUCGGUGUGGUCAACAUGACGCUUUCUCAGGAAAAGGAUCUUGUUACGGAACUUAGAUUUGUGAUUGCAGCACUUGCACGUCAAGGCUCAAUCCACCUGAAGAGUCAUUGCAGGAAUGUUUCUUUCUUUAAAGAUGAUAUUUAUGUAUGAAAAACGCAGAGCUAAUGUCCAGAUAUUAAGCGUGACUUUCCAGCUGACAGAAGGAGAGAGCCAGUAAUAAAAUUCAUGCUUACAUGGUUCAGGAUUAAUCAAGGGGAGAGCUAAGGAGCAGUCUCGGAGGUGCAUCCUGCUGAGAUGUGGAGGAUGAAUGUUUGCACCGACCUCUGCUGCACGAAGAUGAGAGCCAGCAGCUGGAUCUCCAUAUGGAGGAUUGAAGUUUUUGCAUUAAAGAAGGAAAUCUUUCCAGCAACUCUUUUGGCAGGUUUCAUUGCUUCAGUCUACUUUGAAAACAAGGUCUUUGGAACAUCCUUUGGAACAAAACAAAUUUCAGCAGUGAACAUUGGUCAAGUGGAGCAGAACGUAAUUUAG
rnacentral:lncRNA from 1 species